AGUUUGAUCCUGGCUCAGAACGAACGCUGGCGGCGUGUUUAAGACAUGCAAGUCGCACGGGAUUGAAUGAGUAGUAAUACGAUUUCAGUCUAGUGGCGCACGGGUGAGUAACGUGUGAAUGACAUGCCCUUCAGUGGGGAAUAGCCCAGGGAAACUUGGAUUAAUACCCCAUGGUAUCGCAAGAUUAAAGGUGGCCGCAAGGCUGUCGCUGAAGGAUUGGUGCGCACCCUAUCAGCUUGUUGGCGGGGUAACGGCCCACCAAGGCUACGACGGGUACCUGGUCUGAGAGGACGAUCAGGCACACUGGAACUGAGACACGGUCCAGACACCUACGGGUGGCAGCAGUCGAGAAUAAUUCACAAUGGGGGCAACCCUGAUGGUGCAACGCCGCGUAGAGGAUGACGGUCUUCGGAUUGUAAACUCCUGUCAUCUGGGAGUAAGGCAUGGUUGUUAAUAGCAAACAUGAUUGAUAGUACCAGAAGAGGAAGGGACGGCUAACUUCGUGCCAGCAGCCGCGGUAAUACGAAGGACCCAAGCGUUGUUCGGAAUCACUGGGCGUAAAGGGAGCGUAGGCGGCGUGGUAAGUCAGAUGUGAAAUCCCGGGGCUCAACCCCGGAACUGCAUCCGAUACUGCCAUGCUAGAGGAUUGGAGAGGUAGCUGGAAUUCUUGGUGUAGCAGUGAAAUGCGUAGAGAUCAAGAGGAACACUCGUGGCGAAAGCGAGCUACUGGACAAUUCCUGACG
rnacentral:rRNA from 1 species